GAUGAACGCUGGCGGCGUGCCUAAUACAUGCAAGUCGAGCGAACAGACGAGGAGCUUGCUCCUCUGACGUUAGCGGCGGACGGGUGAGUAACACGUGGAUAACCUACCUAUAAGACUGGGAUAACUUCGGGAAACCGGAGCUAAUACCGGAUAAUAUAUUGAACCGCAUGGUUCAAUAGUGAAAGACGGUUUUGCUGUCACUUAUAGAUGGAUCCGCGCCGCAUUAGCUAGUUGGUAAGGUAACGGCUUACCAAGGCAACGAUGCGUAGCCGACCUGAGAGGGUGAUCGGCCACACUUGAACUGAGACACGGUCCAGACUCCUACGGGAGGCAGCAGUAGGGAAUCUUCCGCAAUGGGCGAAAGCCUGACGGAGCAACGGCGCGUGAGUGAUGAAGGUCUUCGGAUCGUAAAACUCUGUUAUUAGGGAAGAACAAAUGUGUAAGUAACUAUGCACGUCUUGACGGUACCUACUCAGAAAGCCACGGCUAACUACGUG
rnacentral:rRNA from 1 species